GUGCUACCAACUGUUUUAUGCUAUCCGUCCUACUGGGUGUCAUGGCUUGAUGGUGGCGAGGGCCUAUCCCAAUGGAUAGAAUGGCUCUCUAUUGUCCGUACUGGUUGUGGGGAGUCAGUCCGAUGUCCGUAUGUGAGGCAAGUGUUGGGUAUUUUCUGCUUUUGUAAUGAGAGGUUGGGGGGAAGUAGAGUGUGUGUUAUUGGGCUUCAUGUGUCCCAGCUAUG